GGCCCCUUGGUCAAGCGGUUAAGACACCGCCCUUUCACGGCGGUAACACGGGUUCGAAUCCCGUAGGGGUUACCA
rnacentral:tRNA from 1 species